GUGCUCACUUUGGUAGCACAUAUAAUAAAAUUGGAAUGAUACAGAGAUUAGCAUGGUCCCUGUGCAAGGAUCACAUGCAAAACAACCAGAAAAAAUCUACAUAG